CAAAAAAUCGAUUUUUUUUUUCCCAUAUUUUGAUAGGUUAUACCUUUAAAAAUAACAUACUAAAAUUUUAAAUCGAUAUCUUAAAUAGUUUUUGAGUUACAGCCAUUUAAAAGAGUAGCCGCUCGGCAGUUAGAUAGUUGCAUUGUCUACGGGAUAUACCUGAAGUAAGUUUAAGCACGAUUACCUCCCACUGGAUCCAGAAGUUGAAAAAGGUCUAAAGCCUAUUUAUGAAGAUUUAUCUCGGCAUAAAUUGCUUGAUAGAUGCAAAGGUAGUAAUACUCAAAACAAUAAUGAAAGUUACAACGGUUUACUUUGGCACUUUUCACCAAAGCACCUUCAUAAUGGAUUGAAAACUAUUGAAUUAGCAAAUUUUUUUGCAACUUCAAUAUUCAAUGACGGUUACUCCUCAAUUUUAAAGAUAUUUAAUGCAAUGGGAGUUAAAGUUGGACCUGCAGCAAGAGAUUAUACGGCUCUUAAGAACGAGACGAGACUACGAAUCGCUGAUCAUCGCCAACGGGCUUGUUCAAAAGAGGGUCGAUCAUCUCGAAGAAGAGCUUCUUCAGCUCAACAAGCACUUUUUGAGGAAGAGGAAGGUGAAUUAUAUGGGCCUGGAAUAGCAGAUUAGCUGUUUUAUCAACGGAGAAGGCUGCAAUCACUCCAGCAGUGGAGGACCUUUUUUUUUUGGCGCCGCCGGAGAUCGCGUGUCAUUUCAAAAAUAUUUAAUAUUUUAUUUCAAAAAUUUUACUGUGUAUUCUCAAAACAUGUAUAAAUAUACUCUCAAAAUUUUAAAUA